AAGAGAAGAAACUAAAAUUUGAAGAGAAAUACUUGCCCCCUCUUUCACUUUUUUUUUUUCUUUUUCUUUUACUGCUUUUAACACC
rnacentral:ribozyme from 13 species